rnacentral:rRNA from 1 species
GUAGGUGGCAAGCGUUGUCCGGAAUUAUUGGGCGUAAAGCGCGCGCAGGCGGUUCUUUAAGUCUGAUGUGAAAGCCCACGGCUCAACCGUGGAGGGUCAUUGGAAACUGGAGAACUUGAGUACAGAAGAGGAAAGCGGAAUUCCACGUGUAGCGGUGAAAUGCGUAGAGAUGUGGAGGAACACCAGUGGCGAAGGCGGCUUUCUGGUCUGCAACUGACGCUGAGGCGCGAAAGCGUGGGGAGCAAACAGGAUUAGAUACCCUGGUAGUCCACGCCGUAAACGAUGAGUGCUAAGUGUUAGGGGGUUUCCGCCCCCCUUAGUGCUGCAGCUAACGCAUUAAGCACUCCGCCCUGGGAGUACGGCCGCAAGGCUG